GUGGGUAUAGUUCAAUGGUUGAAUGUGUGCUUAGCAUGCACAAGGUCCUGGGUUUAAUCCCUAGUACCUCUA
rnacentral:tRNA from 1 species